CCUACGGGAGGCAGCAGUGGGGAAUAUUGCACAAUGGACGAGAGCCUGAACCAGCCAAGUAGCGUGAAGGAUGACUGCCCUAUGGGUUGUAAACUUCUUUUAUAUGGGAAUAAAAUGUUCCACGUGUGGGAUUUUGUAUGUACCAUAUGAAUAAGGAUCGGCUAACUCCGUGCCAGCAGCCGCGGUCAUACGUAGGAUCCGAGCAUUAUCCGGAGUGACUGGGUGUAAAGAGUUGCGUAGGUGGCAUAAUAAGUAGCUAGUGAAAUCUGGUGGCUCAACCAUUCAGACUAUUAGCUAAACUGUUAAGCUCGAGACCGUUAGGGGUAACUGGAAUUUCUAGUGUAGGGGUGAAAUCCGUAGAUAUUAGAAGGAACACCAAUAGCGUAGGCAGGUUACUGGGACGGUUCUGACACUAAGGCACGAAAGCGUAGGGAGCAAACGGGAUUAGAUACCCCGGUAGUC
rnacentral:rRNA from 1 species